rnacentral:misc_RNA from 1 species
UUGACUUAUUUUAUAGUGCUUCAGAAGACAGGUUCAGAAGAGUUUAUGGUAUGCUUUCGGCAGGCUGGACAAAGGUCCCGCCCUGGGACGGCCUGCCGAGGCAACAGAACAGCAAAGAACACAGUGGUUUGGAGUUUUGCAACUCAGUAAUGAUCCCUCCGCUGGUUCACCAACGGAGA